AGAAUGAACGCUAGCGGCGUGCUUAACACAUGCAAGUCGUACGAGAACUCUUUAGCUUGCUAAAGAUAGUAAAGUGGCGCACGGGUGAGUAACGCGUGGGUAAUCUACCUUUGAAUUUGGGAUAACUCCGCGAAAGCGGUGCUAAUACCGGAUAAUAUUUCAGAAUCUUCGGGUUUUGAAAUCAAAAGUGGUCUCUACAUGUAAGCUACUGUUUGGAGAUGAGCCCGCGUACCAUUAGCUUGUUGGUAGGGUAAUGGCCUACCAAGGCUACGAUGGUUAGCUGGUCUGAGAGGAUGAUCAGCCACACUGGAACUGACACACGGUCCAGACUCCUACGGGAGGCAGCAGUGGGGAAUUUUGCGCAAUGGGGGAAACCCUGACGCAGCAACGCCGCGUGAGUGAUGAAGGCUUUCGGGUCGUAAAGCUCUGUCAAGUGGGAAGAACAUGGAAAAUGUUAAUAUCAUUUUUUACUGACGGUACCACUAAAGGAAGCACCGGCUAACUCCGUGCCAGCAGCCGCGGUAAUACGGGGGGUGCAAGCGUUAUUCGGAAUUAUUGGGCGUAAAGGGCGCGUAGGCGGUCUUUUAAGUCAGAUGUGAAAGCCCGGGGCUUAACCCCGGAAGUGCAUUUGAAACUGAAGGACUUGAGUAUGGGAGAGGGAAGUGGAAUUCCUGGUGUAGAGGUGAAAUUCGUAGAUAUCAGGAGGAACACCGGUGGCGAGGGCGACUUCCUGGACCAAUACUGACGCUGANGCGCGAAGGCGUGGGGAGCAAACAGGAUUAGAUACCCUGGUAGUCCACGCAGUAAACGAUGAACACUANGUGUAGCGGGUAUUGACCCCUGCUGUGCCGCAGUUAACGCNNUAAGUGUUCCGCCUGGGGAGUACNACCGCAAGGUUAAACUCAAAGGAAUUGANGGGGGCCCGCACAGCGGNGGAGCAUGUGGUUUAAUUCGACGCAACGCGAANANCUUACCUGGAUUUGACNUCCCGGGNAGUCC
rnacentral:rRNA from 1 species